GGCUAUUUGGUGUUAGAAAUAAAGAGUCGGACCUGCCCGGUGAAUGUAAUAAACGGUUGCAACGAGAGUUGUACGAAGGUAGCGUGAUAAGUUGUCUUUUAAUUGGAGAAUGGAAUGAAGGGUUUGACGUGAAAUUUCUUUUUUUAUAAAAGGUACUAAAGUUUCCUUCUAAGUGAAAAGGCUUAGGUUUUUGAAAAAGACGAGAAGACCCUGUCGAACUUGAUUAAGAAUUGCUGGUUAUAGAUAUUUGAAAGUUUUAUUGGGGCAAUAUUAACUUAAAAAACAGUUAAUUUAUUCAUAGAUCCUUUUUGAAAGAAAGAGGAAAAAGUUACCGCAGGG
rnacentral:rRNA from 1 species